rnacentral:rRNA from 1 species
AUUGAACGCUAGCGGGAUGCUUUACACAUGCAAGUCGAACGAGUGGCGGAAGGGAGGGUAAUAUAUCGGAACGUGCGCAGUAGCGGGGGAUAACUACUCGAAAGAGGGGCUAAUAACGUAUAGUAUGGGAGCGGCAGAUAUCGGUUUAGCUAGUUGGGGGGGUAAAGGCUCACCAAGGCAACGAUCCGUAGCUGGUUUGAGGUGAGGAACAGCCACACUGGGACUGAGACACGGCCCAGACGCCGACGGGAGGCAGCAGUGGGGAAUUUUGGACAAUGGGGGAAACCCUGAUCCAGCCAUCCCGCGUGUAUGAGAAGGCCUUCGGGUUGUAAAGCACUUUUGGCAGGGAAGCGUUACCUGCAGAAUAAGCACCGGCUAACUACGUGCCAGCAGCCGCGGUAAUAC